GCUCUCUUCGGCUGCCCCAAUCCCCGGCAGCUCUCUCAGAGGCGUGGAGCUAUUUCCUAUGACAGUUCUGAUCAGACUGCAUUAUACAUUCGUAUGCUAGGAGAUGUACGUGUAAGGAGCCGAGCAGGAUUUGAAUCAGAAAGAAGAGGUUCUCACCCAUAUAUUGAUUUUCGUAUUUUCCACUCUCAAUCUGAAAUUGAAGUGUCUGUCUCUGCAAGGAAUAUCAGAAGGCUACUAAGUUUCCAGCGAUAUCUUAGAUCUUCACGCUUUUUUCGUGGUACUGCGGUUUCAAAUUCCCUAAACAUUUUAGAUGAUGAUUAUAAUGGACAAGCCAAGUGUAUGCUGGAAAAAGUUGGAAAUUGGAAUUUUGAUAUCUUUCUAUUUGAUAGACUAACAAAUGGAAAUAGUCUAGUAAGCUUAACCUUUCAUUUAUUUAGUCUUCAUGGAUUAAUUGAGUACUUCCAUUUAGAUAUGAUGAAACUUCGU
rnacentral:lncRNA from 1 species